AACAGAAGAGGCAGUUAAAAAAAAAUUCAGAGUCAGCUCAGAGACUGUUUGAAAACAAUUCCUGUCUCAGGAGACAGUUUUGUUUUCAUUAAUAGCCAAAUAUUCCUAAACAAAUGAAGGAAGAAUAAAGCCAGAUAAAGUAUUUUAUAAGCACCACGUCAUUUAAGAAGCCAAUGUGAGAGACUUCUCCAUAGACAAAAGCAGCAGGACAUGCUUGAAAAUACAAAAGAUCUGGACGGGAUGCCUGGAAUUGCUGUAGCUAUCUUGUAUCCAAGAAGGAAGUAGCUUCUAAAGACAAGUGAUAGAACAAUGAGAAGAAACCUGAGUCCUCAAGGAACUUAUUGAGAUAAUUCACCAUAUCUUGCUGCAUCUGUAAGAUUUUCCUUCACUUAAACUAUUGGAACUUCCUGUUACUUGUAGCUGAAUACAAUCCACAAUAAAAAAGGGAAGAUUAUUUCCUGGCA
rnacentral:lncRNA from 1 species